GACGAACGCUGGCGGCGUGCUUAACACAUGCAAGUCGAACGGAAAGGCCCUGCUUUUGUGUGGUGCUCGAGUGGCGAACGGGUGAGUAACACGGGAGUAACCUGCCCUGGACGUUGUGAUAACUGCAGGAAACUGGUGCUAAUACCGGAUAGGAGCUCCUGCUGCAUGGUGGGGUUUGGAAAGUUUCGGCGGUUGGGGAUGGACUCGCGGCUUAUCAGCUUGUUGGUGGGGGAGUGGCUUACCAAGGCUUUGACGGGUAGCCGGCCUGAGAGGGUGACCGGCCACAUUGGGACUGAGAUACGGCACAGACUCCUACGGGAGGCAGCAGUGGGGAAUAUUGAACAAUGGGCGGAAGGCUGAUGCAGCAACGCCGCGUGCGGGAUGACGGCCUUCGGGUUGUAAAACGCUUUCGCCUGUGACGAAGCGUGAGUGACGGUAAUGGGUAAAGAAGCAACGGCUAACUACGUG
rnacentral:rRNA from 1 species